UCUCUUUUGCUUGAUUAUAGAUUUUGAAGUUUGGUUCUCCAGAUUUGUGCUUCUCUUCCAAUUUUGGUUCUCAUCUCUUUUGAUUUUCAUGGCAGAUAGACGAUGCUCUAGGCGAAGGCAACACUCAGCCUCUAAAAGUUCUAGUGAAGGACAUUCGAGCUCUGAGAGUUCUUAUAGUGGGAAUUUAGAUGAUCGUUCAAAGAAGAGUACCCACAUCAUACCUGAUCCACCCAUGUCCUGGUAUCCUCCAGGUAGCUUGCCUAGUACAUCAUCAAGUACUGGUUUAACACAUGACACUACAACUGGAAACAAACAAGAAGAAUGGAGUUUCUGCAACUCGCUUAGAGGUGUGGAUGGCUGGGUACUCAAAGGAUAACAAACCAAGUAUUGAUGACACAAAUGAAGGAGCUUGAGGCGCAAUCCAAUGCUAUAGAUGAAUAGAUUAUCACACAGGUUCUAGGGCCUGAGUGACCUGGUCGUGUUUGAACAUUUAGAUUGGGUCCUUCUCCGACAGAUGUCUUUGGAGGUGGAUAUAGGCAAUCACAAGAACAAACUCGUUUCAUUCAAAGGCAAGUCCAAGAGCAACUUAACCAAUAUGAAGCACAAAUGGAGAUACAAAUGAAGGAGAUGAAGGAUGCAGUGUUUAACCAACAGAAAGUACAAAUGGAGAUGCAAAGCACAAUCCAAGCUUAAUAAGCACGAAUAGAGCAGUUAGAGUCUCAACAGGCCAUGGGUGGGCCUGUUGCACCAAUUGCUACACAAGUGCAUUCCAACAACAAUCCCAUGCAUAUACCUCAUCGUUUAAUUGCCAUCAUUCGUUCGAGGAAGUGAGUAAAUAGUUAAUUAUGAAAUUUUCACUAUGACAUUUUAUUCAUGUUGUUUGUUUUUGUCAAAUGUGGGUUCACAUAUCAAAGAAAGGAAAGAAGAAGAAGAAGAAGAAGAAGAAGAAGAAAUAGAUAAGACAAAUUCAAUUAAAGAAGGCCACUGAAGUCUACUAAAUUCAAGAUUCCUACAGUGUCCCCUAUUGAAGAAGUUGUUGGGGUUAAAAGGUUGCUUCAAGAUGAUACUCUUUUAAGUCUGCAAAAGAGGAAGUCAAUAAUCAUAGGAAUCAACUAAUGCAAUGGAAAAGGUUGGAGGUACAGGUAGUAUGCCACCUCCAAGGACAUAGCUUGGAUGAUGAUGAGAGUUGAAGACUCUU